rnacentral:rRNA from 1 species
CCUACGGGUGGCAGCAGUGAGGAAUAUUGGUCAAUGGACGAGAGCCUGAACCAGCCACGCCGCGUGAAGGAUGACUGCCCUAUGGGUUGUAAACUUCUUUUAUAUGGGAAUAAAUUGUUCUACGUGUGGGAUUUUGUACGUCUCAUAUGAUUCAGGAUAGGCUAACUCCGGGCCAGCAGUCGCGGUAAUACGGAGGAUCCGAGCGUUAUCCGGAUUUAUUGGGUUUAACGGGAGCGUAGGUGGAUGUUUAAGUCAGUUGUGAAAGUUUGCGGCUCAACCGUAAAAUUGCAGUUGAAACUGGCAGUCUUGAGUACAGUAGAGGUGGGCGGAAUUCGUGGUGUAGCGGUGAAAUGCUUAGAUAUCACGAAGAACUCCGAUUGCGAAGGCAGCUCACUGGACUGCAACUGACACUGAGGCUCGAAAGUGUGGGUAGCAAACAGGAUUAGAUACCCGGGUAGUC